rnacentral:rRNA from 1 species
UCGAACGAGGUCCAUGGAGCUUGCUCCGGAAGACCUAGUGGCGAACGGGUGCGUAACACGUGAGAAACCUGCCCCGAUCUCUGGGAUAACAGUUGGAAACGACUGCUAAUACCGGAUGCCGUCACACCGCUUCAUGGCGGAGUGCCGAAAGAUUUAUCGGAUCGGGAGGGUCUCGCGGCCUAUCAGCUAGUUGGAGAGGUAACGGCUCACCAAGGCAUCGACGGGUAGCUGGUCUGAGAGGAUGAUCAGCCACACUGGGACUGAGACACGGCCCAGACUCCUACGGGAGGCAGCAGUGGGGAAUCUUGCACAAUGGGCGAAAGCCUGAUGCAGCAACGCCGCGUGCGGGAAGAAGGCCCUAGGGUCGUAAACCGCUUUCAGUAGGGAAGAAAAUGACGGUACCUACAGAAGAAGGUGCGGCCAACUACGUGCCAGCAGCCGCGGUGACACGUAGGCACCAAGCGUUAUCCGGAUUUAUUGGGCGUAAAGAGCUCGUAGGCGGUUUGGUAAGUCGGGUGUGAAAACUCUGGGCUCAACCCAGAGAGGCCACCCGAUACUGCUAUGACUAGAGUACGGUAGGGGAGCGGGGAAUUCAUGGUGUUGCGGUGAAAUGCGCAGAUAUCAUGAGGAACACCAGCGGCGAAGGCGCCGCUCUGGGCCG